ACGCUCGACACCUACGAGGCAGCAGUGGGGAAUAUUGCACAAUGGGGGAAACCCUGAUGCAGCGACGCCGCGUGAGCGAAGAAGUAUUUCGGUAUGUAAAGCUCUAUCAGCAGGGAAGAAACUGACGGUACCUGACUAAGAAGCACCGGCUAAAUACGUGCCCGCAGCCGCGGUAAUCUGAGCGGGCUGGCAAGGC
rnacentral:rRNA from 1 species